CCUCUUUAGCUGUUUGGGAAAUCUCUCCCACUGCUGCACUCUGCCACCAUUUGAGCUGCUGUCUCCACAUCUUUGUUGUUAGCUUCUCUUCAAAAGGUCCUUUAACAGUUACUGAGUAGUUAUAACUCGGCUUCGAUCCAAACUCUAAGGAUGGAACAUUUGAAGCAAAGCUUCGAGGAGUUUACAGAGUAAAAAGGUUCGAUGCUUGUAAAUGCGGUAAACCACGUGACCGACGACAAACGAUGCCUCUUCUUCUUCUUCUUAUAAUGGCGGUUGGCAAACAACUGAAGGAGGCAUUACCGCCACCAACUGGCGUCCCAGCCUCACCCAGACUCUGCCUCCAGUGGCCCCCAGACUCCACGAUCUGUUAACACCAUUGAAUGACGAAGAUCUUGAUGAGAAAAUGACACAAAUUCUGCAACACCAGCCAAACUGUGGAUACAAAAUGAUGCUUCGGCACCUGAACUCACAGGGCAUCCACAUACAGAGAUUCCAUGCGGCGUGUGGAUCUUCGUGGAGUUUUGAUGCGGACCCUUCAGCUGAAUCCACGGAGACGGAGGAGGUACUCUGUGCCAGAACCAAACAGUUUGUGGCACAUAGAUGGCAAUCACAAACUGAUAAGACGGCGUAUUGUUGUGCAUGGUGGUACUGAUGGCUUUAGUCGCCUCAUCGUAUACCUGAGUGCCUCCAUCAACAACCGCGCAGCAACAGUCCUGAGCAGCUUUCUCAAAGCUGUUAACGUCUAUGGUGUACCAUCCCGUGUGAGAUCGGACAAAGGAGGGGAAAUGUUGCUCACUUCAUGGUGGUGUUGGACCACUUGUUUGCUGAAUAUUGGACUACUUGCACGGUACGGGACGCCACCAGGCCUCCUGGCGGUUUCGGCCAUUUUGUAUCCAGGACAUUGCGACUGAUAUGACGGGGCGCCCCAAGUCUGACGUCACAGGACGCUAUAUGUGGAGGCACCCAUUUUGAACACCUUGCCUUCAGCUGGAGAUCGUGACCCGAUCACCAACAUCUGAAGCAUCACCUGGAGAAGAGUCCCGAGUGGAUUUCAUUUAUUCUCUCUCUUUGGCCAACGAACAAUUCCUAACUGAGGUUUCUGGACUAGGAAGGCCAGAGAUUUCACUUUGCCGAUCGAAGACGUGAGUUUAACACGUAACUAAAAACACGGAGUUUUGAGGAGACGAAUCGUCACCGUGUUUUAUCCUAAGUCGACUUUGAUGGUCAGAUCAUGUUUAUCCCUUUUCGCCAAGGAGGCCAAAGGACGAAGACUGACCGCUUUCUUGGAGUUUAACUGCGGACGUGCAGCCACACUUCACCCCCCUUUUUCCCUCUCACUCGCUGCCCUAGAAGGAAACUUCACCAAGUAAAACCCAUCCUUUAUUUUAAUCUUUUUAUUUCUUUAUUAAGAAUAGCCGGGCAGGGUAGAGGAGAUUUUUAGUGCAGUUAGAAUCUAAUGUGUUCUGAAUGAUAUGUGCAUGUAACCUUGUUAUUGAAACUUUGAUGUGCCGUGUUGACAUCUGGAAGCCGCGGCGCUCCCGGCUCUGUGCGUGUUUUGUGGGGUAUUUACCACCUGAGAGCCACAGCGCAAGUGUGCUGUGAGACUGGACUGCUAAAAUAACCUUAUGGUGAAAUUCCCCAUUUUCUUUGUCUUCAACCUUACUGCUAGCUAGCUUGCCGCCAAAAGUUU